CCGACACGUGCGCGAGUCAUGGGGUGUUACGAAACCUAAAGGCGCAACGAAAGUGAAGCGACGACAGUUCUUCUGUCGGCCCGGCGAGAUCUCCGGCGUAGGUGUCUGAGCGCAUCGCCGACCUGCCUUUUGCUUAGGUGGAGUCUGAGCGCACGUGUCGGGACCCGAAAGAUGGUGAUCUAUGCCUGAGGUGGAUGAAGCCAGAGGAAACUCUGGUGGAGGUCCUAAGCGAUUCUGACGUGCAAAUCGAUCGUGUCACUUGGGCAUAGGGGCGAAAGACCAAUCGAACCAUCUAGUAGCUGGUUCCCUCCGAAGUUUCCCUCAGGAUAGCUGGCGCUCGAAUGGAGACAGUUGCAUCCGGUAAAGCGAAUGAUUAGAGGUCAUGGGGGCGAAACGCCCUCGUCCUAUUCUCAAACUAUAAAUCGGGUGCGAUCCGUUGUCCUCUCCCUGGCGGGAGGCUUCGGCAGAAUGAGAGUGCUUAGUGGGCCACUUUUGGUAAGCAGAACUGGCGCUGUGGA
rnacentral:rRNA from 2 species